AAGUUAACGUCAAGACACAAGGCUAUUAACCUUAUGCUUUUCUUCACAAUUGAAAGUGCUUUACAACCCUCAGGCCUUCUUCACACACGCGGUAUUGCUGGAUCAGGGUUUCCCCCAUUGUCCAAUAUUCCCC
rnacentral:rRNA from 1 species